UGCGUAAAGUUACCCAUCUUAAUUUAUUAUAUCUUUGAAUACCCAUACGGUAACGUACAAUUUUUUUUUUUUUACAAAAUAACGAAAUAAACAAAUUGAUGAUGACGAACGGAAGAGAACACCGAGGCGACGGUAAUAUACUGUGAAAACUCCGAGGACGAAAACCUCGGGUGAGGCCGUGCCGGGAGAGACGGACGGCGGU